CCUACGGGAGGCAGUAGUGGGGAAUAUUGCACAAUGGGGGAAACCCUGAUGCAGCGACGCCGCGGGAGCGAUGAAGUAUUUCGGUAUGUAAAGCUCUAUCAGCAGGGAAGAAAAUGACGGUACCUGACUAAGAAGCCCCGGCUAACUACGUGCCAGCAGCCGCGGUAAUACGUAGGGGGCAAGCGUUAUCCGGGUUUACUGGGUGGAAAGGGAGCGUAGACGGUCCUGCAAGCCAGAUGUGAAAGCCCGGGGCUCAACCCCGGGACUGCAUUUGGAACUGUAAGGCUAGAGUGUCGGAGAGGCAGGCGGAAUUCCUAGUGUAGCGGUGAAAUGCGUAGAUAUUAGGAGGAACACCAGUGGCGAAGGCGGCCUGCUGGACGAUGACUGACGUUGAGGCUCGAAAGCGUGGGGAGCAAACAGGAUUAGAUACCCUUGUAGUC
rnacentral:rRNA from 1 species